rnacentral:rRNA from 1 species
GACGAACGCUGGCGGCGUGCUUAACACAUGCAAGUCGAGCGGAAAGGCCCUUCGGGGUACUCGAGCGGCGAACGGGUGAGUAACACGUGAGUAACCUGCCCCAGACUUUGGGAUAACCCUCGGAAACGGGGGCUAAUACCGGAUACGACACAGCUUCGCAUGGGGUCUGUGUGGAAAGUUUUUCGGUUUGGGAUGGGCUCGCGGCCUAUCAGCUUGUUGGUGGGGUGAUGGCCUACCAAGGCGACGACGGGUAGCCGGCCUGAGAGGGCGACCGGCCACACUGGGCCUGAGAAACGGCCCAGACUCCUACGGGAGGCAGCAGUGGGGAAUAUUGCACAAUGGGCGGAAGCCUGAUGCAGCGACGCCGCGUGAGGGAUGACGGCCUUCGGGUUGUAAACCUCUUUCAGCAGGGACGAAGCGUAAGUGACGGUACCUGCAGAAGAAGCGCCGGCCAACUACGUG